GAAGAAGUGGCCGAGUGGUUAUGGCGAUAGACUGUAAAUCUAUUGGAUAUUCCGUCGUAGGUUCGAACCCUACCUUCUUCA
rnacentral:tRNA from 1 species